rnacentral:rRNA from 1 species
GCCAAGUCGUGAGGCGGAGCUAAUCCCUUAAAGCCAUUCUCAGUUCGGAUUGUAGGCUGAAACUCGCCUACAUGAAGCUGGAGUUACUAGUAAUCGCAGAUCAGAAUGCUGCGGUGAAUGCGUUCCCGGGUCUUGUACACACCGCCCGUCACACCACGGAAGUUGGGGGCGCCCGAAGCCACUUAGCUAACCCUUUUGGGAAGCGAGUGUCGAAGGUGAAAUCAAUAACUGGGGUGAAGUCGUAACAAGGUACC